UACGUAGGGGCGAAGCGUUGUCCGGAUUUAUUGGGCGUAAAGAGCGUGUAGGCGGCCGAAUAAGUCUGACGUGAAAUCUGGAGGCUCAACCUCCAGCUGUCGUUGGAAACUAUUCGGCUAGAGUCCGGUAGGGGAGAGUGGAAUUCCCGGUGUAGCGGUGAAAUGCGCAGAUAUCGGGAGGAACACCGGUGGCGAAGGCGGCUCUCUGGGCCUGUCCUGACGCUCAAGCGCGAAAGCUGGGG
rnacentral:rRNA from 1 species